rnacentral:rRNA from 1 species
UAUCCUCGGGAGGCAGCAGUAGGGAAUCUUCCACAAUGGACGAAAGUCUGAUGGAGCAACGCCGCGUGAGUGAAGGAGGGUUUCGGCUCGUAAAGCUCUGUUGGUAGUGGAGAAAGAUAGAGGUAGUAACUGGCCUUUAUUUGACGGUAAUUACUUAGAAAGUCACUGCUAACUACGUGCCAGCAGCCGCGGUAAUACGUAGGUGGCAAGCGUUGUCCGGAUUUAUUGGGCGUAAA